AGUGGUGCCAUGUCUGCACCCAGAAUCUGAACUGGCGUACCCUGGGCCGCCGAAGCCGAUUGUGCGAACUUAACCGCUGCACCACCGGGCCAGCCCCUGAAGGCAGCUUUGAAGUUUGUCUUUUCACAGUGUGACAAGCAAGCCUUAAUGGGAGUAUUAACAGUGGGGAACACAGAGGAAGGAGCAACUAGGUGCCGGGGGAUGGUUUUGGGAGAGGUCCUGGGAGCCUGGCGACCAGCAUCCACGGGAGAGGACACGGGCGGCCUCUGGGGACUGAGCAGGGCUGUGCACGGCUGGGAGGUCCAGGAGGGCUGUCCGAGGAGAUGCUGGAGCUUAUUCCUUCACAGAGCUUUGGAUUCACUCGAAUUCCGAGAGGCUGAAGGGGACAGACUCAUUCCAGGGAAAGACACCUGGGUGCCUGUGACCAGGGAACCAGGAAUUGCCCCAGUUUUGCAGAUGUUGCUGUUUUGCA
rnacentral:lncRNA from 1 species